GAUGAAGAACGCAGCGAAAUGCGAUAAGUAAUGUGAAUUGCAGAAUUCAGUGAAUCAUCGAAUCUUUGAACGCACAUUGCGCCCGCCAGUAUUCUGGCGGGCAUGCCUGUUCGAGCGUCAUUUCAACCAUCACGCCCCCGGCUUGUGUUGGGGACCUGCGGCUGCCGCAGGCCCUGAAAAGCAGUGGCGGGCUCGCUGUCACACCGAGCGUAGUAGAUUUCAUCUCGCUCAGGGCGUGCUGCGGGUUCCGGCCGUUAAACCACCUUCAUAACCCAAGGUUGACCUCGGAUCAGGUAGGAAGACCCGCUGAACUUAAGCAUAUCAAUAAGCGGAGGA
rnacentral:misc_RNA from 1 species